rnacentral:rRNA from 1 species
GACGAACGCUGGCGGUGUGCUUAACACAUGCCAGUCGAACGGUAAGGCCCUUUCGGGGGUACACGAGUGGCGAACGGGUGGGUAACACGUGAGUAACCUGCCCUCAUCUCUGGGAUAACAGUCGGAAACGGUUGCUAAUACUGGAUAUGAGCUUGCAAGGCAUCUUGUGGGUUGGAAAGAUUUUUUUUGGUUGGGGAUGGACUCGCGGCCUAUCAGCUUGUUGGUGAGGUAGUGGCUCACCAAGGCUUCGACGGGUAGCCGGCCUGAGAGGGCGACCGGCCACAUGGGGACGGAGGUACGGCCCAAACUCCUACGGGAGGCAGCAGGGGGGAAUAUUGCACAAUGGACGGAAGUCUGAUGCAGCAACGCCGCGUGCGGGAUGACGGCCUUCGGGUUGUAAACCGCUUUCAAUUGUGACGAAGCUUUUUUGUGACGGUAGCAGGAGAAGAAGCACCGGCUAACUCCGUG